UACGGAGGGUGCAAGCGUUAUCCGGAUUCACUGGGUUUAAAGGGUGCGUAGGAGGGCAGGUAAGUCAGUGGUGAAAUCUUCGAGCUUAACUCGGAAACUGCCGUUGAUACUAUCUGUCUUGAAUACCGUGGAGGUGAGCGGAAUAUGCCAUGUAGCGGUGAAAUGCUUAGAUAUGACAUAGAACACCAAUUGCGAAGGCAGCUCGCUACACGAAUAUUGACUCUGAGGCACGAAAGCGUGGGGAUCAAACAGG
rnacentral:rRNA from 1 species